rnacentral:pre_miRNA from 1 species
UUUCUACUCCCUCUGUCCGAGAAUACUUGUCAUCAAAAUGGAUAAAAAGAGAUGUAUCUAAAACUAAAAUACGUCUAGAUACAUUUCCUUUUAUCCAUUUUGAUGACAAGUAUUUCCGGACGGAGGGAGUAUUUG